GUCAAUUCCACAUUCUCUCUUAAAUUUAUUAUUUGUACAUCCAUGUCCUUGAACACCCUUCAAAAACUGUUAUAAUCGGUUCUCCCAUAAAAUCAACGCUGUAAAAUAUUGUUUAACUUGUGCAGCUGUAGUUUGCUCAACUGUUAAAUUCACAAACAUCUGCUUACAAAAAUAUCAUUGAAUCUUUAGUCUUAUCAAAGCCCCUUGGGCUAGAAUUUCCCAUGCAAAUCAUUUUUUUUCCUUUUGAUAUUCCAUUCUUUUUCUGCUGCAUUCGUAGUCCUAAUUUAGGUGUGAUUUCCUAAAGUAAUCUGACUUUGUAACAUUCUGGAAAUGCAGUGUGGAAACCCAUUCCUUG
rnacentral:misc_RNA from 1 species